AACGUAGGAACCGAGCGUUAUCCGAAUUCACUGGGCGUAAAGCGCGUGUAGGCGGCUUGGUAAGUUGGAUGUGAAAGCUCCCGGCUCAACUGGGAGAGGACGUUCAAUACUGUCGAGCUAGAGGGCGAUAGAGGGAGGUAGAAUUCCUGGUGUAGUGGUGAAAUGCGUAGAUAUCAGGAGGAAUACCAGUGGCGAAGGCGGCCUCCUGGGUCGCACCUGACGCUCAGACGCGAAAGCUAGGGUAGCAAACGGG
rnacentral:rRNA from 1 species